AUGGCAAAGUAUAGGUGGAGUAGCUCUCUCGAUCGGUGUUCAACGCACUGGAUGAGUUGGGAGGCUCUCGCACAACCAAAACUCAGAGGAGGGAUGGGGUUCCCAGACUUGGAAUUGUUCAAUAUAGCACUCCUUGGUAAACAUGGUUGGAGGUUGAUGACUGAACCAAACUCUCUGUGUUCUAGAGUGUUAAAAGGACGAUACUUCCCUUCUUGUGAUUUUAUGCAAGCAAGUGCGCCCAAGACUUUUUCGGCGACUUGGCUAGCGAUCAUUGCUGGGAGGAAAGCUCUGAAGGCUGGGCUGGUCAAGCGUGUUGGCAGCGGUACAAUGGUGUCUAUUUGGGAAGAUAAAUGGAUCCCGGAAACACUUACAAUGACCCCUGUAGCCCGCCUGGGAGAUGCACAAAUCAGCUGGGUUGCUGAUCUGAUUGAUGAUGAGAAUUGGACGUGGAAAGCUGAUAUUGUCAGGCAAUCUUUUAUACCUCCGGAUGCUGAGGCAAUCCUUAAUAUACCAUUGAGAACGGGAGGUGGAGAAGAUUUUAUAUCAUGGGUGUUGCGAACGUAG
rnacentral:rRNA from 1 species